GAUGAAGAACGUAGCGAAAUGCGAUAAGUAGUGUGAAUUGCAGAAUUCAGUGAAUCAUCGAAUCUUUGAACGCACAUUGCGCCCUUCGGUAUUCCGUUGGGCAUGCCUGUUCGAGCGUCAUUUAAACCUUCAAGCUAUGCUUGGUGUUGGGUGUUUGUUCCGCCUCUGCGCGUGGACUCGCCUCAAAUUCAUUGGCAGCCGGUAUGUUGGCUUCGUGCGCAGCACAUUGCAAGCGACUUCAACAAACCUCCUUCCAUAAGACUUUUUUUUACUUUGACCUCGGAUCAGGUAGGGAUACCCGCUGAACUUAAGCAUAUCAAUAAGCGGAGGA
rnacentral:misc_RNA from 1 species